rnacentral:rRNA from 1 species
UACGUAGGGGGCAAGCGUUGUCCGGAUUCAUUGGGCGUAAAGAGCGUGUAGGCGGCUGGGUAGGUCCGUUGUGAAAACUCGAGGCUCAACCUCGAGACGCCGAUGGAAACCCUCCAGCUAGAGUCCGGAAGAGGAGAGUGGAAUUCCUGGUGUAGCGGUGAAAUGCGCAGAUAUCAGGAGGAACACCAAUUGCGAAGGCAGCUCGCUGGGACGUUACUGACGCUGAGACGCGAAAGCGUGGGGAGCAAACAGG